AUCCAGCUGACGAGUCCCGAAUUGGACGAAAUGCGCGUCCUGGAU
rnacentral:hammerhead_ribozyme from 1 species